AUUGAACGCUGGCGGCAUGCCUUACACAUGCAAGUCGAACGGCAGCACGGGUGCUUGCACCUGGUGGCGAGUGGCGAACGGGUGAGUAAUACAUCGGAACGUACCUUAUCGUGGGGGAUAACGCAGCGAAAGUUGCGCUAAUACCGCAUACGCCCUGAGGGGGAAAGCGGGGGACCGUAAGGCCUCGCGCGAUUAGAGCGGCCGAUGUCUGAUUAGCUUGUUGGUGAGGUAAAAGCUCACCAAGGCGAUGAUCAGUAGCUGGUCUGAGAGGACGAUCGGCCACACUGGGACAGAGACACGGCCCAGACUCCUACGGGAGGCAGCAGUGGGGAAUUUUGGGCAAUGGGGGCAACCCUGAUCCAGCAAUGCCGCGUGAGUGAAGAAGGCCUUCGGGUUGUAAAGCUCUUUUGUCAGGGAAGAAACAGCAGCUCUAACACAGUCUGCGAAUGACGGUACCUGAAGAAUAAGCACCGGCUAACUACGUGCCAGCAGCCGCCGCGG
rnacentral:rRNA from 1 species